GAAUAUUGGACAAUGGGCGAAAGCCUGAUCCAGCCAUGCCGCGUGUGUGAAGAAGGUCUUCGGAUUGUAAAGCACUUUAAGUUGGGAGGAAGGGUUGUAGAUUAAUACUCUGCAAUUUUGACGUUACCGACAGAAUAAGCACCGGCUAACUACGUGCCAGCAGCCGCGGUAAUACUUAGGGCGCAAGCGUUAAUCGGAAUUACUGGGCGUAAAGCGUGCGCAGGCGGUUUUGUAAGACAGAGGUGAAAUCCCCGGGCUCAACCUGGGAACUGCUUUCAAAACUGGCAAGCUAGAGUAUGGCAGAGGGUGGUGGAAUUUCCUGUGUAGCGGUGAAAUGCGUAGAUAUAGGAAGGAACACCAGUGGCGAAGGCGACCACCUGGGCUAAUACUGACACUGAGGUGCGAAAGCGUGGGGAGCAAACAGG
rnacentral:rRNA from 1 species